ensembl:lncRNA
UCCCCCAUUUUUUCCCAAAAUCCCGUUUUUCCCCCCAUUUUUACCAAAAAUCCAUUUUUCCCCCAUUUUUCCCAAAAUCCCUUUUUUUCCCCCAUUUUUACCAAAAUCCCCGUUUUUUUCCCCCAUUUUUACCAAAAUCCCAUUUUUUCCCCCAAUUUUAACCAAAAAUCCCGUUUUUUUCCCCCAUUUUUCCCAAAAUCCCAUUUUUUCCCCCAUUUAACCAAAAUCCCGUUUUUUGCCCCAUUUUCAGGCCCGCUGGGCCGGGGCGGGUUCUGGUUCCGGCUCCGGCGGCCGGCGCCUUCACGGGCGGGGGAGGGCCAGCACGAGCGGGGACUGGAAAUGCCCCAAAUCCGUGAGUGUCGUACUGGUUAUACUGGUUUGUACUGGGAGGGACUGGGAGGGACUGGGUUAUACUGGUUAUACUGGGUUAUACUGGUUUGUACUGGGUUAUACUGGUUUGUGCUUCACGGGCGGGGGAGGGGCCCAGCAGCGAGCGGGGGACUGGAAAUGCCCCAACCCGGCGUGUGAGAACAUGAACUUCUCGUGGCGGAACGAGUGCAACCAGUGCAAGGCGCCCAAGCCCGAGGGGGGCCCCGGGGGCCUCACCUGGGCGGGGCGGGGCCGGCAAGUACCCGGGGGAGGGCCGGAGCAGGAGGAGGAGGAGGAGGAGGCGGCAACCGCGGCGGCAGCGGCGGCAGCCACAUGGGUGGGGGUUUCGAGGAGCGCCGGGGCGGCCGCGGCGGCUUCGACCGGGGCGGGUUGGGCACACCUGGGCACACCUGGGCACACCUUUACACACCUGUACACAUGUUUAUCACACUUUUACACACCUGUACACACCUGUGGGUCUCACCUGUGUCUCACCUGUGUCUCACCUGCCCAGGGGGGUUUCGAGGAGCGCCGGGGCGGCCGCGGCGGCUUCGACCGGGGCGGGUUCCGUGGCCGCGGCGACCGCGGCGGGUUCCGGGGCGGCCGAGGGGGCGACCGCGCGGCUUCGGGCCCGGCAAGAUGGACAGCAGGGGUGACCACCGGCAGGACCGACGCGAGCGGCCAUAUUGAGCCCCUCCCCCACCCUUUUUUACCCCUCCCCCUCCCCAAAUUUUUGUAUGUUCGCCCCUCCCCCACCCCCCUUUGGCCCCGCCCCCUCCCGCGGCCCCCCCCGUUUUUAACCCCUCCCCCCCAAAAAGGGAUUUUGGGGAACGAUCUGAUUGGCUGGCGCUGGGAAGGGGCGUGGCUUCACUGGGAGGUCAUUAACGUGCCUAAUUAAUGCCUAAUGAGCUCGUUAACAAGCUCGUUAAACACUGACGUAAAUGAGGUCGUUACAAGGGCAGGUGGUGCGCGGCUGGGAGGGUUAAUUUGCAUAAUAUGCAUUUAUUAGCAUAAAUUGAAGGGGUUUGGCUUGUCACAAGUAGCUGCUCUGGGGGCGUGGAUUGAUUUGGCUAAUUAGCAUAAUGGGCAUGGGUAAUUAGCAUAUAUAGAUUAUGGGCGUGGUUUGCACACUCGGGUUAUUGUAAUGUUAAUUAGCAUAAUGGCGUGGUUAAUUAGCACAUAUAGCUUACGGGAGCGUGGUUUGCACAUUUAUGGGUGUUAUUGUAAUGUUAAUUAGCAUAUUGGGCGUGGUUAAUUAGCAUAAAUAGCUAAUGGGGCGUGGUUUGCACGCUUGGGGUGUUAUCGUAAUGUUAAUUUGCAUAAUGGGCAUGGGUAAUUAGCAUAAAUAGCUUAUGGGGGCGUGGUUUCACACUGGGGGGUUAUGUAAUAGUUAUAUAGCAUAAUGGCCGUGAUUAGCAUAUAUACCUUAUGGGGGUGUGGUUUUCACACUUGGGGUUAAGUGUAAUGGUUUAAUUAGCAUAAUAGUCAUGGUUAAUUAGCAUAAAUAUCUUUUGGGGCGUGGUUUGCACACCUUUAGCAGUUUGGGUUGGUUUAAUGGCUAAUUAGCAUAAGGGGCGUGGUCUGCAUAUAAUGGGACAUUGAGGGGUGGUUUUAGCUGAGUAAGGGGCGUGGUUUGCAUAUAAAUGAACUUUAGGGGCGUGUCUUUCCCAUAUUUGCAUAUUGAGGGCGUGGUUUGCAUAUAAAUGGAAUUUAGGGGCGUAUCUUGUCCAUAUUUGCAUAUUGAGGGCGUGGUUUGUCCAUAAAUGGACAUUGGGGCGUGGCCAUGCCCUGUUUAGGUAAAGGUAAAGGUGAGGGGGGCAGAACCCAGCCAGGUAAAGGCAGAACCCAGCCAGGUACAGGCACAGGUGAGACAGGUGAGACAGAACCCAGCCAGGUAAAGGCACAGGUGAGACAGGAGGACAGAACCCAGCCAGGUAAAGGCACAGGUGAGACAGGAGGGACAGAACCCAGCCAGGUAAAGGCACAGGUGAGACAGAACCCAGCCAGGUAAAGGCACAGGUGAGAGAGAGGGGACAGAACCCAGCCAGGUACAGGCACAGGUGAGACAGAACCCAGCCAGGUAAAGGCACAGGUGAGACAGAACCCAGCCAGGUAAAGGCACAGGUGAGACAGAACCCAGCCAGGUAAAGGCACAGGUGAGACAGAACCAGCCAGGUAAAGGCACAGGUGAGACAGAACCCAGCCAGGUACAGGCACAGGUGAGACAGAACCCGUCCAGGUAAAGGCACAGGUGAGACAGAACCCAGCCAGGUAAAGGCAGAACCCAGCCAGGUAAAGGCACAGGUUAGGCAGAACCCAGCCAGGUAAAGGCACAGGUGAGACAGAACCCAGCCAGGUACAGGCACAGGUGAGACAGAACCCAGCCAGGUAAAGGCAGAACCCAGCCAGGUAAAGGCACAGGUGAGACAGAACCCAGCCAGGUACAGGCACAGGUGAGACAGAACCCAGCCAGGUAAAGGCACAGGUGGGACAGAACCCAGCCAGGUAAAGGCACAGGUGAGACAGAACCCAGCCAGGUAAAGGCACAGGUGAGACAGGAGAGGCAGAACCCAGCCAGGUAAAGGCAGAACCCAGCCAGGUAAAGGCACAGGUGAGACAGAACCCAGCCAGGUAAUGGCACAGGUGAGAAGGUGAGACAGAACCCAGCCAGGUAAAGGCACAGGUGAGACAGAACCCAGCCAGGUAAAGGCACAGGUGACACAGGAGGGGCAGAACCCAGCCAGGUAAAGGCACAGGUGAGACAGAACCCAGCCAGGUAAAGGCACAGGUGAGACAGAACCCAGCCAGGUACAGGCACAGGUGAGACAGAACCCAGCCAGGUAAAGGCACAGGUGACACAGGAGGGACAGAACCCAGCCAGGUAAAGGCAGAACCCAGCCAGGUAAAGGCACAGGUGAGACAGAACCCAGCCAGGUAAAGGCAGAACCCAGCCAGGUAAGGGCACAGGUGACACAGGAGAGACAGAACCCAGCCAGGUAAAGGCACAGGUGACACAGAACUCAGCCAGGUACAGGCACAGGUGAGACAGAACCCAGCCAGGUACAGGCACAGGUGAGACAGAACCCAGCCAGGUAAAGGCAGAACCCAGCCAGGUAAUGGCACAGGUGAGACAGGAGGGGCAGAACCCAGCCAGGUAAAGGCACAGGUGAGACAGAACCCAGCCAGGUAAUGGCACAGGUGAGAAGGUGAGACAGAACCCAGCCAGGUAAUGGCACAGGUGAGACAGGAGAGGCAGAACCCAGCCAGGUACAGGCACAGGUGAGACAGAACCCAGCCAGGUAAUGGCACAGGUGAGACAGAACUCAGCCAGGUAAAUUUACAGGUGAGACAGAACCCAGCCAGGUACAGGCCCAGGUGACACGGAAGCGCCGCCCAGCCCAGGAAAUACCUGCACAGGUGACACCCGGGGCGUGUCCGCGGCACAGGUGAGGGUGGGGGUGGGGGUGGCACAUUCCGGGCAGGUAAAGGGGCGUGGCCGCGCUCAGGUGAAGGCACAGGUGAGGAAGGUGACACAGGAGCGAUGAGGAGGCGGCGGCGGCAGGGAGCGGGGCCGGAGCCGAUUCUGCUGAUUCUGGUGCUGGUGGCGGGCGGUGAGAGGCGGUUUGGGGGAAUUUGGGGGAUUUUAGGGGGUUUUUGGGGGGUUUAGUGGCAGCCUGAGGGAAUUUGGGAGUUUUUUUGAGGUGUUUUGAUGGGAAUUUGGGGGGUUUGGGAGGGAAUCAUGAGGGAUUUUGGUGGGAAUCGUGAGGGGGUUAAGGAGAGUCUGAGAAGAUUUGGGGUGUCUGAGGGGAUUUGGGGGGGUUUGAUGGGAAUUUGAGGGGAUUUGGG